GAUGAACGCUGGCGGCGUGCCUAAUACAUGCAAGUCGAGCGAACGGACGAGAAGCUUGCUUCUCUGAUGUUAGCGGCGGACGGGUGAGUAACACGUGGAUAACCUACCUAUAAGACUGGGAUAACUUCGGGAAACCGUAGCUAAUACCGGAUAAUAUUUUGAACCGCAUGGUUCAAAAGUGAAAGACGGUCUUGCUGUCACUUAUAGAUGGAUCCGCGCUGCAUUAGCUAGUUGGUAAGGUAACGGCUUACCAGGGCAACGAUGCAUAGCCGACCUGAGAGGGUGAUCGGCCACACUGGAACUGAGACACGGUCCGGACUCCUACGGGAGGCAGCAGUAGGGAAUCUUCCGCAAUGGGCGAAAGCCUGACGGAGCAACGCCGCGUGAGUGAUGAAGGUCUUCGGAUCGUAAAACUCUGUUAUUAGGGAAGAACAUAUGUGUAAGUAACUGUGCACAUCUUGACGGUACCUAAUCAGAAAGCCACGGCUAACUACGUG
rnacentral:rRNA from 1 species